rnacentral:tRNA from 1 species
GCCGGAGUAGCUCAGCUGGUAGAGCAGCCGCCUUGUAAGCGGCAGGCCGUGGGUUCGAGUCCCUCCUCCGGCU